AGGAUUAACGCUGGCGGCGUGCAUGAAACAUGCAAGUCGAGCGCGGUGUGAUGCGGGGUAACCCAAUUCACAUCUAGCGGCGAACGGGUGAGUAACACGUGAGCAACCUACCUUUGAGUUGGGGAUAGCCCUGGGAAACCAGGAUUAAUACCCGAUGUGGUCACAACAGGACAUCCUGAUGUGAGUAAAGGCGUAAGCCGCUCAAUGACGGGCUCGCGGCCUAUUAGCUUGUUGGUGGGGUAACGGCCUACCAAGGCGAUGAUGGGUAGCUGGUCUGAGAGGACGAUCAGCCACACUGGGACUGAGACACGGCCCAGACUCCUACGGGAGGCAGCAGUGGGGAAUUUUGCGCAAUGGGGGAAACCCUGACGCAGCAACGCCGCGUGGAGGAUGAAGCCCCUUGGGGUGUAAACUCCUUUCGAUCGGGAAGAUAAUGACGGUACCGAUAUAAGAAGCCCCGGCUAACUUCGUGCCAGCAGCCGC
rnacentral:rRNA from 1 species